GUUCCUCUCCUCUCCUUAUUUUACUUAUCAUCCAAGUUAGUUAUUUGCUUUUCGUUUGAUUUCAAUAUUCUUUUCAUUCGUCACAUAUUAUAUAUUCUUAUAACUUAUGAUUCCAUUCUUUUUCUUAACUUUAUAACUCUGUUAAUCCUAUAAUUCCUUGACUAACUCCGCAACCAAACAAUUAGAAUAUAUUCGGAUCAGAAGAUCAGUUCUCGAUCCAAUGCAUAUAUAUAAUAAGGAUGACCAUGCAUGCAGGAGAACAAAGAAGUGUUCAAAAGGAAAACAUGGAAUAUUUAGAUAAAGCAUGCCAUUCUCUGCCUGCUGACAUCGAUACAAAUGGAGUUGUAAGAUCAAGUAGAGAUUUUCCGCCAGCUCAUUACACAUUUCAAAUCAAGAAUUUCUCGGUGCUGUUUGAGGCAGAGGUUGGGAAAUGUGAAUCGGGCCAGUUUGAACUUGGCGGCUACAAAUGGAAAUUGGUACUCAAAACAAAUGGGAAGAAGAAUAGUAAAAGUCACAUCUCCUUAUAUUUGGCAAUAGAAAAUAAAAACACUCUUUCGCUUGGAUGGGAGGCAAACGUAAACUUCAGAUUCUUUGUGUUUGAUCAAAUACGAAACAUGUACCUGUGUAUUCAAGAUGCAGAUGGGAGAGUAAGACGGUUUCAUAACUUAAAGACUGAAUGGGGAUUCGCUCAAUUACUUUCGCACGACACCCUCAACGAUCCUUCAAAUGGUUAUAUUGUUGACGAUUCUUGCAUUCUUGGGGCUGAAGUUUUUGUCAUCAAAGGUACUGGCAGGGGAGUGUGUUUGUCAAUGAUAAAACAACCUCAAAUCAAUUAUUUCACUUGGAGGGUUGACAGCUUUGACGCGCGGAAAGACUACUAUUAUUUGUCUAAUGUCUUCGUUGUUGAAGGGCGUAAAUGGAAGUUGAAGCUCUAUCCAAGGGGAGCAGACAAAGCAACCUCAGAUUACGGCUUCAGCUUGUCGCUCUAUCUCCAACCGGUCGAUGAUUCAGAAAUAGUUACUCCUAACCGAAAAUUGUACGCAAAAUACAAGCUGCGAAUAAGGGACCAAGUCAAUAGCAAUCACCUUGAAAAAACACUUGAGUAUUGGUUCUCUAGCAGUAACGUUGGCUUUGGUGCCCCGACCUUUACGUUUCUGACAGAUCUCAAGGAUCCAUCAAAUGGCUACUUAGUGGAUGAUGCUUUGUUGGUUGAAUGCAAAAUUGAUGUCAUAUCUGAAGUGAAGGAUUUCUCCGGAUGAUCUAAUUGGAGACAAAUUAAUUAGCUAUAUUACUAUUAAUUAUACAAUAAUUCAGAGUGGUUGCAUGUGGAAGCAGCGAUAGAUUCGACACAAAUUCGGCCGAAACAUUAUUAUUAUGUCUAUAUCAAAAGUAAGAAUUAAA